UUCUGUCUCCAUUUACUCUCUCUCCCAUACUCUAGGUCAGAGGAGAAGGUGACAGUCUAUUUCUUCAACCGUGACGCUAUUUCAUCAACCGUGACAGGCAGAAGAUCACCACUUCCUGUGCCAAGGGCAACAGUUUUCUAGACCGGGUCGUCGACCAAAACAUAUAUAUCGAUGGCUUUGGUGCGUGUGAGGGGACCCUGGCCUGUUCCACCUGUCAUGUGAUCCUGGAUCAGAAGGGGUACGACCAGCUGGGGCCCAUCAUUGAUGAGGAGAAUGACAUGUUGGACCUGGCCUUUGGCCUCACACACGUCUCGUCUGAGUUGCCAGGUCUGCCUAUCCAGAGAUCUGGAGUGAGUAACAGUCCGUUUGCCAGACGGGGUGAACGACAUAGGCGAUCUGAUGAUGCUGGACCUACACUGUAAAACAAAUGGUGUUGUUUUUACAAUAUUAUACAAUAAAAAUAACAGUACUGUAUUCAUUAUUUACAGUAAAUUGCCGUAAAUCGCAAUGCAC